GACGUAGGGGGCCAGCGUUGCUCGGAAUUACUGGGUGUAAAGGGUUCGUAGGCGGUGUGGCAAGUCGGGAGUGAAAUCUCUGGGCUCAACCCAGAGUCUGCUUCCGAAACUGCUGUGCUUGAGUGUGGGAGAGGCGCGUGGAAUUGCAGGUGUAGCGGUGAAAUGCGUAGAUAUCUGCAGGAACACCCGUGGCGAAAGCGGCGCGCUGGACAACUACUGACGCUGAGGAACGAAAGCUAGGGGAGCAAACAGG
rnacentral:rRNA from 1 species